rnacentral:rRNA from 1 species
AGCUCCAAUAGCGUAUAUUUAAGUUGUUGCGGUAAAAAAGCUCGUAGUUGGAUUUCUGUUGAGGACGACCGGUCCAUACCAUGUAUGCGCAUCUGGUUUCGGCCUCGGCAUCCUCUCGAGAGGCGUUUCUGCGCUUGAUUGCGUGGGGCGUGGCUCGGGACUUUUACUUUGAGGAAAUUAGAGUGUUCACGGCAGGCUUUUGCCAGAAUACAUUAGCAUGGAAUAAUAAUAUAGGAUCUUGGUUCUAUUUUGUUGGUUUCUAGAAUUAAGAUAAUGAUUAAUAGGGACAAUUGGGGGCAUUCGUAUCAACACGUCAGAGGUGGAAUUCUUGGAUUGUGUUGCGACGAACUACUGCGAAAGCAUUUGCCAAGGAUGUUUUCA